UACGUAGGGGGCGAGCGUUGUCCGGAAUCAUUGGGCGUAAAGAGCUCGUAGGCGGUUCAGCAAGUCGGCUGUGAAAUUCCGAGGCUCAACCUCGGAACUGCAGUCGAUACUGCUGUGACUCGAGUCCGGUAGAGGAGAAUGGAAUUCCCGGUGUAGCGGUGAAAUGCGCAGAUAUCUGGAGGAACACCGGUGGCGAAGGCGGCGUUCUGGACUGCAACUGACACUGAAAAACGAAAGCCAGGGUAGCAAACGGG
rnacentral:rRNA from 1 species